AGGUUUUGCAGCUGCGUCUCAAUAACCUCAAAACGCUUCCUUCAACUUUGUUCAAAUUUUGCCAAAAACUAUCAGUUCUUAGUAUUUAUGGCACACAAAUCACCAAUGAGUAUCUUCGUCAGGCUGAGGGAUGGCAGGCUUUUGAUCGGCGCCGGCGUGGGAAGUAUGUAAAGGGUGUUGAUCCUGAGGCUGGGCCAUCAAGAGCAUUUGAUAAAGGUGAUGAUAGUGAAAAGGAACAAUAAAAACUGAAGACUUUAUUUUUUUAUUUUUUUUUAAGUUGUUAGAACAAAUUUAUUUUUUUUAAUUCUUUGCAUGUUGAGCUAUCAAGGGAAUGAUGAUGAUGAUGCAUGCAUAAUACAAUAGGGCUAUAGAGCAUAGAUCUUUGUUUUCUUAGUAUUAUUCAUAGCAUCUAUUGAAUGGGAUUUCUUAGUGGAGUUAUAAUAAAAGUGACACAUUUUUAUUUGGUCA